rnacentral:rRNA from 1 species
GACGAACGCUGGCGGCGUGCUUAACACAUGCAAGUCGAACGAAGUGGCGAACGGGUGAGUAAUACGUGGGUAACCUGCCCUCCUUUUUGGGAUAAGCCUUGGAAACGGGGUCUAAUACCGAAUAAAGGGGGAUGGGCUCGCGGCCUAUCAGCUUGUUGGUGGGGUGAUGGCCUACCAAGGCGGUGACGGGUAGCCGGCCUGAGAGGGUGAGCGGCCAUGAUGGGACGGAGAUACGGCCCAGGACCGUGCGGCGGGCAGCAGUGGGGGAUGGUGCAGAAGGGGGGAAAGUCUGAUGCUGCGACGCCGCGUGGGGGAGGGAGGCUUUGGGAUUGUGAACCUCUUUCGGUAUCGAACGAGUAGGUUGAGAAGAAGCGCCGGCUAACUACGUGCCAGCAGCCGCGGUAAUUC